CCUAUUUGUCCGAGCUGAUACUUAAAGCACAGGGGCACAAACACUGAUAUUCCGUCUCAUCUGAACCUCCAAACUGGUCGAAGGCCACUUACUCUAAACAUCACAACUAAUGCUGAAGAGUAUGGAGCCUACAUAGAUGCUAAGAAGAUGGCUCCACUGGUGUCAUUGAUCGCAUCAAAAAUUCAAGGCUUACAGAAAUACUAGAGGGCUAAUUGGUAGCAGAACAUUUCAGACUUAAUCUUAAUGCAGUCUUAAUCUUCUGCAUUAAACCUACCUGAAGGUUUCCUCUUGCAGCAGGCAAGGGGAAGUUUAGUGCCUCAUUGAAAAACACCUGGUGAGAGCAUUCAAGAACAUCGCAGUACAUGGGGACUACAAACCUGAAAAUGUCACUAAACAAACUUUCAGAAAAUCAGAGCAAUCCAUUCACCUGGAGCCUCCACCACUGGAAUGCUCCUUGCUUUCCCUUGCUAACACUUCUGUCUCCACCAAGCCAUGUUUGCUUAUGGGUUUUAGAAGCAAAACUAUGAAGGGAAAAUCCCCAUAAUUCUACAGCCUGUGCCACCCUGGAAUUUGAUAAUUUUCCAAUGUAGCAAUGGAAGGGGUUCCUCUGCAGAAACUCAGGAUGAACAUCCUAUUUGAGUAAAUGACUUUAAACAACAAAUUUAGUAUUGCUGGUAUAGGGCCAGCAAGUCUGGAGACCCUGUGUAUGACCGGGUAUAUCACACCCUUCCUUCUAGCACCCUGUUCAUUGGCUAUCCAGAUCUUUAGGUCAUUAGAAACCUAACCUGAAGGGAGAAGCAGGUACUCUAUGCAAAGCUGAAGAGUAACCUGAUUAUAAAGUUGGAACUUGGACUCACAGUAUUCUUUCCAGUCACUGUAUCAAAGCAGAGGUGAGUAUGACCUGAUACCUGCCCUGAGAACCGUACUUUCAGAAGUCUGUAGAUGGAAGGUGGAAAGGAGACUGGAACAUAUUUGAUAAUUAACUGGAAGGCAGGAUGAACAAGGAUGUGGACUUCGGAAUUGGCCAGUAAAUAUUAUAUAUGGGGCCAGUUUAAAGUGCAGCCAGAGCUGCCAUGACAGAGGAACUGCCUUGCCCGACGUUUUAUGCCUCAAACCUUUGGAAUGUUAAAACAGGGCAAAAUAACCUUUGGACUGGGACUCAGGCAACCUGUGUCCCAAACAUCUGUUUGCAAAGGUAACAAGACAGCAGAUAUUAUCACUACUGGACUGAUGACUACCGGACUGAAAAUUAAAAACACUGUUUAGAAUUAACAUGUUGUUUUCUUCACCAAUAAAAAACGCUUUCUGUCUACUGAUGGAAAUAUUCUCCUCCUUUUUCUCAUAAGUACCUAUUGCUUUUGUCUCCUAAUUGAAACAUUAUUUGGGCUUCUGCCUGAAUUAAUGAUUCUCAAGUAGCUAUUCCCAUUGAUCUCAAAUAAACACUUGUUUGCCUCUUACUUUGAAAGACCUUUUUAUUUUUAAGUUAACAGACCAAACCUUAGUUUUUUUCCACCUCCAACAUUGUGUGGUGUAACACUUGGAAG